CGGACCAAGGAGUAUAACAUGUGUGCGAGUCAAUGGGUCUCGAUUAAGCCCAGAGGCGCAAUGAAAGCGAAGGCCGGAGGACUCCGGUCGUGUCGGGAUCCCCGUUCCUCUGCGUUCGGGGCGCACCGACGACCCGCCCCUAUCCGCUCGCGGGUGAGGCGGAGUCUGAGCGCACACGUUGUGACCCGAAAGGUGGUGAUCUAUGCCCGGACAGGACGAGGCCAGAGGAAACUCUGGUGGAGGUCCGUAGCGAUUCUGACGUGCAAAUCGAUCGUCAGAUCUGGGUCUAGGGGCGUAAGACUAAUCGAACCAUCUAGUAGCUGGUUCCCUCCGAAGUUUCCCUCAGGAUAGCUGGCGCUCGUUUGAAUUCAGUCUCAUCCGGUAAAGCGAAUGAUUAGAGGCCUUGGGGCCGAAACGACCUCAACCUAUUCUCAAACUUUAAAUGGGUGAGCAGUCCGCCUUGCAUGACUGAAGGCCGGACGUCUCAGGAUGAGAGUGCCCAGUGGGCCACUUUUGGUAAGCAGAACUGGCGCUGUGGGAUGAACCAAACGCCGGGUUAAGGCGUCCGAUGCGAGACGCUCAUGAGACCCCAUGAAAGGUGUUGGUUGCUCUAGACAGUCGGACGAUGGCCAUGGAAGUCGGAAUUCGCUAAGGAGUGUGUAACAACUCACCGACCGAAGCAACUAGCCCUGAAAAUGGAUGACGCUCCAGCGUCGAGCCUAUACCCGGCCGCUGCGGCAGAGCUCCAUUUAUGGAGGGUUACGCCGCAGUGAGUAGGAGGGUCGCGGUGGCGAGCGUUGAAGGUGCCGGGCGUGAGCCCGCCUGGAGCCGCCACCGGUGCAGAUCUUGGUGGUAGUAGCAAAUACUCAAGUGAGAACCUUGAGGACUGAAGUUGGAGAAGGGUUCCAUGUGAACAGCAGUUGAACAUGGGUCAGUCGGCCCUAAGGGAUCGGAGAAAUCCGUUCCGAAGCGAGACGUUGACCAUUUGUAUUUACAAUACACGUGACGUGUGUUUGUCUCGCUGCCGACCGAAAGGGAAUGGGGUCAAUAUUCCCCAACCCGGACAAGGAGAUAGGUCCCUCGGGACCGAGUGCGGCGACGCAACCGAACUCGGAGACGUCGACGGAGGACCCGGGGAAGAGUUGUCUUUUCUUUGUAAGAGUUCGUGUCCCUGGAAUCGGCUCGUCCGGAGAUAGGGACGCUGUUCUCGUAAAAGCACCGCGGCUCUUGCGGUGUCCGGUGCGCCUCUGUCGGCCCUUGCAAAUCCGAGGGAGAGAGUGUGAUUUUCUUGCCGGUCCGUACCCAUAUCCGCAGC
rnacentral:rRNA from 1 species